rnacentral:rRNA from 1 species
AGCUUUAGGAACAGAUCUAAGGUUAUACCUGCCCAAUGUGUAAUUCUAUUAAUGGCCGCGGUACCUUGACCGUGCUAAGGUAGCGCAAUCAGUUGGCUCUUAAUUGGGGUCAGGAAUGAAUGGAGUUACGGAGUCUUACUGUCUCUUAGUUAAUUACUCUAAAUUACUAUUUAGGUGAAAAAGCCUAAUAAAAGAAAGGGGACGAGAAGACCCUUAGAGUUUGACCUAUAUAAAUUUUAGAAAUUGUGUUUAUAAUGGUUUAGUUGGGGCAACGUAGGAGCAAAGAGAAAAAAGUAAAAAUCUCCUGAAUUUUAUUAACCGAUAUUUUUAAAUUUGGAUAAACUACCUUAGGGAUAACAGCAUAAUUUAAUAAAUAAGUUUGUGACCUCGAUGUUGGACUAGGAAACUUAAAGGCUAGCCGUCUUUAAGGGAAGUUCUGUUCGAACUAGUAUUCCU